UUCUAAGACUCUUCCUUCAUAGAUCUGUUAGCUGUCAAGACGGAGAGAUUGAUUUCCUUAAAUUUCCAUUUUAAAAAAACUUCAGUGUGUCGUGUUGACAUAGUUCGAGUGAGGAUUGCGAAUAUGGCAAUAUUUUCGCGAAAAAGGGUCGCUCCAUUCCUCUUCACACCCCUGUUCUUCCAUUCACUGGAUGACGGAGUAGUUUGUCUUCAGAUUCGGGCCUGGAUGGAGAACGACUUCCAAGGGAAUGAAUUUGUCCCCCAAAUUGAUCGAACCGGUGUUUGCAUAAACGUCCCGGACGCGUUCAACGAUCAAAUCUCCUCCCUCAUUGCGGACGACUGUGUGCAGAUCUGGCGAGAUUUUGGCUGCGUUGGAGAAGGGAGGCAGAUCGCGCAGACGACACAAGUUGCCAGAUUGUCCGACUUUAACUUCAAUGAUGUCACCUCGUCAGUUUCUUUUUGUUGAUCACAACCUUUCUAACGAAAGUUGAAGUACUCUGACUUCCAAUGACCAGUGUUUAAAUUGCUAAUAUGUCCGUUUUACUUUCAAAAUUAGUUGGCAAAAAUAAAUAAUAAUGAUGAUGCAAAAA